rnacentral:rRNA from 1 species
GAGCGAACGCUGGCGGCAGGCCUAACACAUGCAAGUCGAACGGACCCUUCGGGGUUAGUGGCGGACGGGUGAGUAACACGUGGGAACGUGCCUUUAGGUUCGGAAUAGCUCCUGGAAACGGGUGGUAAUGCCGAAUGUGCCCUUCGGGGGAAAGAUUUAUCGCCUUUAGAGCGGCCCGCGUCUGAUUAGCUAGUUGGUGGUGUAACGGACCACCAAGGCGACGAUCAGUAGCUGGUCUGAGAGGAUGAUCAGCCACAUUGGGACUGAGACACGGCCCAAACUCCUACGGGAGGCAGCAGUGGGGAAUCUUGCGCAAUGGGCGAAAGCCUGACGCAGCCAUGCCGCGUGAAUGAUGAAGGUCUUAGGAUUGUAAAAUUCUUUCACCGGGGACGAUAAUGACGGUACCCGGAGAAGAAGCCCCGGCUAACUUCGUGCCAGCAGCCGCGGUAAUACGAAGGGGGCUAGCGUUGCUCGGAAUUACUGGGCGUAAAGGGAGCGUAGGCGGACAUUUAAGUCAGG